ensembl:misc_RNA Metazoa_SRP Metazoan signal recognition particle RNA
GCUGGGUGAGAGGUGGCAGGCACCUGUAAUCCCAGCUACUCAGGAGGCUGAGGCAGAAGAAUCGCUUGAACCCAGGAGGCUGAGGUUGCAGUGAGCUGAGAUCAGGCCACUGCACUCCAGCCUGGGUGACAGAGCGAGACUCUGUCUCAA